UACCAGCACCCCGAGUGGUCGGGACGAUUAUUGGGCCUAAAGCAUCCGUAGCCGGUUUUACAAGUCCUCCGUUAAAUCCAGCUGCUUAACAGAUGGGCUGCGGAGGAUACUAUAAGACUAGGAGGCAGGAGAGGCAAGCGGUACUCAGUGGGUAGGGGUAAAAUCCGUUGAUCCAUUGAAGACCACCAGUGGCGAAGGCGGCUUGCCAGAACGCGCUCGACGGUGAGGGAUGAAAGCUUGGGGGGAGCAAACCGG
rnacentral:rRNA from 1 species